rnacentral:rRNA from 1 species
GAUGAACGCUGACAGAAUGCUUAACACAUGCAAGUCCACUUGAACUUCGGUUUGGGUGGCGGACGGGUGAGUAACGCGUAAAGAACUUGCCUCACAGAUAGGGACAACAUUUGGAAACGAAUGCUAAUACCUGAUAUUAUGAUUUUAGGGCAUCCUAGGAUUAUGAAAGCUAUAUGCGCUGUGAGAGAGCUUUGCGUCCCAUUAGCUAGUUGGAGAGGUAACGGCUCACCAAGGCGAUGAUGGGUAGCCGGCCUGAGAGGGUGAUCGGCCACAAGGGGACGGAGACACGGCCCUUACUCCUACGGGAGGCAGCAGUGGGGAAUAUUGGACAAUGGACCAAGAGUCUGAUCCAGCAAUUCUGUGUGCACGAUGAAGUUUUUCGGAAUGUAAAGUGCUUUCAGUUGGGAAGAAAAAAAUGACGGUACCAACAGAAGAAGUGACGGCUAAAUACGUG